CGCGGCCUAUCAGCUUGUUGGUGAGGUAACGGCUCACCAAGGCGUCGACGGGUAGCCGGCCUGAGAGGGCGACCGGCCACACUGGGACUGAGAUACGGCCCAGACUCCUACGGGAGGCAGCAGUGGGGAAUAUUGCGCAAUGGGCGAAAGCCUGACGCAGCAACGCCGCGUGCGGGAUGACGGCCUUCGGGUUGUAAACCGCUUUCAGCAGGGACGAAGCAACACGUGACGGUACCUGCAGAAGAAGCACCGGCCAACUACGUGCCAGCAGCCGCGGUGAUACGUAGGGUGCGAGCGUUGUCCGGAAUUAUUGGGCGUAAAGAGCUUGUAGGCGGUCUAUUGCGUCGAGAGUGAAAACUCAGGGCUCAACCCUGAGCCUGCUCUCGAUACGGGUAGACUUGAGGGAUGUAGGGGAGAACGGAAUUCUUGGUGGAGCGGUGGAAUGCGCAGAUAUCAGGAGGAACACCGGUGGCGAAGGCGGUUCUCUGGACAUUUCCUGACGCUGAGAAGCGAAAGCGUGGGUAGCAAACAGGCUUAGAUACCCUGGUAGUCCACGCCGUAAACGGUGGGUACUAGGUGUGGGGGACAUUCCACGUUCUCCGUGCCGCAGCUAACGCAUUAAGUACCCCGCCUGGGGAGUACGG
rnacentral:rRNA from 1 species